rnacentral:sRNA from 1 species
GAGUCCGCUUUCGGGGGAAGGGUGAGAACCUUCGACUUAGGUUCGAGUCGAGCGCAGCGAGACAACGUCGCGCAACGCGCGACGGCCCUUGUCCACCGACGUUUGAAUGGCGGGAUUUUUCUGGUACCAUCA